UAAUUCUAAUUUUUUUAGUGUUUUUAUUUUUAAAUAUAUCUAUUAAAGUCUUUAAUUUUGAAUUACUUCAUCUAUCAGUUUUGAUCCCAUUGGUCCAAUCUGACUGACACAUAGGAUCCAAGUCAAAUCAUCCCUAGCUGACACCCGUAUUGUGAAUGACACAGUCGGUGACCCCACUCAAACAAUGAAACAUCUGUAGUGCAAACCAUGUUAGGUGAGCGGACAACAUUUUCACCUCAAAAUCUAAGCAUAUCAAGCUUUGAUUUUAUGAAGAAAAAGCAUCCACGAAACUGGAAAAUGCAUAUUCUACGGCCAACCUCAAACUCCUAGUCCACUCUCGAGGGUAAACUGCUCUUUUUCUUAAGAUCUUUAAGUUAAUAAAGUCAAUGAAUAUGUGCAUUAGAUUUCUUAACGAGUACAAAACUUGCCAACCAACCUAAGUACAACUCCUUUCAAAUGUAGUUGAUCUUCUAUGGGAUCAACGUUUUGUGCUAUCAGCUAGUUUUUUGGUUCAAUUAUUGAGCGAACAAGCAAGGACCAAUGUGUCUACAAUUGACAGGUCAUACAAAGACUUCCAGGUUUUCCAAUAACACUCAUCAUUCCUUAGGGUAGAACAGGAAGCAGAAGAGGGAAGAUGAGAUGAAAGAAAGACAAGAAGAAUGUUAUAGAUGGGAUGUUGUUAUUGUUGCCUUUGUUAUAUGCUGCAACCACUGUAUUUGAUUUGAUACAACUGUCACCUUACCCUAAGGAAAGAAAGUAACCUGCAAGAGAUAAAUAGGAAAUUGAAGAAGAAAAUCGAGGGGUAGAUUUGAUAGAAAUUAGAAAAGAACUAUAGACAUAUUUGUGGGAUAAAAUUUCAGACACAUGCCCAGGAGGUUAUAGCACACAUACAUAGAUUACUUGGACUUCAACAUCUCUAAGCUAGCUGGCUAGCUGACUAGUUAAAAAGCUCAACGUCAGGGAAAAAAUAUAGAUUGGAAUACCCAUCACAGGUUUGCUGUCCUACUCUUAGUUGACUCUCCGCCUGAAUCACCCAAGCUGGUCGGUCAACCCCCACAGGUGGAGCCUCCAUGUAAGGGAUGUUUUGUGCUAUCAGCUAGUUUUUUGGUUCAAUUAUUGAGCAAACAAGCAAGGACCAAUGUGUCUACAAUUGACAGGUCAUACAAAGACUUCCAGGUUUUCCUAUAACACUCAUCAUUCCUUAGGGUAGAACAGGAAGCAGAAGAGGGAAGAUGAGAUGAAAGAAAGACAAGAAAAUGUUAUAGAUGGGAUGUUGUUAUUGUUGCCUUUGUUAUAUGCUGCAACCACUGUAUAUGAUUUGAUACAACUGUCACCUUACCUUAAGGAAAGAAAGUAUCCUGCAAGAGAUAAAUAGGAAAAAUUGAAGAAGAAAGUCGAGGGGUAGAUUAGAUAGAAAUUAGAAAAGAACUAUAGACAUAUUUGUGGGAUAAAAUUUCAGACACAUGCCCAAGAGGUAUAACACACAUACAUAGAUUACUUGGACGUCAACCUCUCUAAGCUAGCUGGCUAGCUGACUAGUUAGCUAGCUCAACGUCAGGGAAAAAAUAUAGAUUGGAAUACCCAUCACAGGUCAGCUAGCUCAAUGUCAGGGAAAAAAUAUAGAUUGGAAUACCCAUCACAGGUUUGCUGUCCUACUUUUAGUUGACUCUCCGCCUGAAUCACCCAAGCCGGUCGGUCAACCCCCACAGGUGGAGCCUCCAUGUAAGGGAUGGUUGGACCUAACUUUUGCAUUCUAAGGUUCCUAUUGGCAUGAAUCCUAGUUAACCUAAAUUGAUUAAGAGACAUGAAUUGCAAUUGAUUCAAAAGGAAAAAUAAAAGAAAAUCAGUCAAUCCCCAUUAAUAGCCUAAAUAGGAAUCAGUACGAUUGACUAGUCAAACCAUGACCAAGUAAAUUAGAACUCCCAUAUAAUUUGUGAAAGAAAUCAUGCAUGAUG
rnacentral:lncRNA from 1 species